GAGGAGGUGCUCCUGGAGAAAGUCCCUACGAUGACACCCCUUCUACCCUCCUGCGCCCUGUAACCAAGAGCCUCAGCCCUUCCAAUUUCUCAGGCUCCCACACAUUGCAUCUACCCACUGGUCCUCCUGACCUGAUGCUUCUUCUCCGUGUCCAACCUCCGGCGUGAGUGCAGGGAGCUGAGAGCCUCCCGGAAUGUGGCCCGCAGUGCUCGCUCCAUCAGGGCCUUGUGGUACGCUCCCACCACGUUCCCACACAGGAACAACACGGCGUUUGCUGCCAACUGUGGGUAAAGGCCAGACUUGGAGAGCACACCACCCAGCGGGGCUGGGAAGUUUAUCUGUAUCGUUCAAGGUUUCUCUACGUAAAAAUGCUGGCUAUCCUGGAACUCGCUUUGUGAAUCAGGCUGCCUCUGCCCAGUGCCGGGAUUAAAGGCGUAGGUCACCACCCAGUGACUGUUGCAUUUUUACCUGUGGUAGCAGAGCCCUCUGUG